AUGAACGCUGGCGGCGUGGAUAAGGCAUGCAAGUCGAACGGGCCAUGACUGCGAUUACAUCAAGAUCAUGGCUAGUGGCGAACGAGUUAGUAUCACCUUGGUACGUACCCCCGAGUCGAGCAUAACGGGUCGAAAGAUCCGCUAAUUCUCGAUAGUCUCGCAAGAGUAAAGUCGCAAGACGCUUGGGGAGCGGCCUAGGUCCUAUCAGCUAGUUGGCGGGGUAACGGCCCACCAAGGCUAUGACGGGUAGGAGGCGUGAGAGCGCGACCUUCAACGACGGAACUGAGACACGGUCCGUACACCUACGGGUGGCAGCAGUCGAGAAUAUUCGACAAUGGGCGAAAGCCUGAUCGAGCGACGCCGCGUGCAGGAAGAAGUCCCUCGGGAUGUAAACUGCUUUUGCGUGGGAAGAAUUUUGACGGUACCACGAGAAUAAGGGGUUGCUAACUCUGU
rnacentral:rRNA from 1 species